rnacentral:misc_RNA from 1 species
GCAAACUCUCGCGCUCGGCGUUUUUAUUCUGGCUGUUCUCGUUAUAGCGGAGGCUUCCGUUCACUUCGGCGGACGCGUCGCAACGGCCAGGGUCCCCAUGCAGUGGGGAAUUGAUGGCAAACCGACCUGGUAUGCACCCCGCACCAUCGGCCUGUGGUCGAUGUUGGGCUUUACGCUGGUUAUCGGUGGCGGACUGAUUGCAAUGAUGCGUUUUGCCGAAAGCGAAAAAGUGACCAGCCUUUUAUACGGGCUCAUUGUGCUGUCGGUCACGAUGGCGGCCACUCAGAUCUGGC